CUUGUAGUAGCGUAGCGGCAACGCGCCUGUCUAGUGAGUAGGAGUCGUGAGUUCGAGUCUCACCGAGAGGA
rnacentral:tRNA from 1 species